rnacentral:rRNA from 1 species
ACCAAAUAGAUACCCGGGUAGUCCACGCCCUAAACGAUGCGAACUGGAUGUUGGGUACAUUACGGUACUCAGUGUCGAAAGCUAAACGCGUUAAGUUCGCCGCCUGGGGAGUACGGUCGCAAGACUGAAACUCAAAGGAAUUGACGGGGGUCCCGCACAAGCGGUGGAGUAUGUGGUUUAAUUCGAUGCAACGCGAAGAACCUUACCUGGCCUUGACAUCUGUCGAAUCCUGCAGAGAUGCGGGUAGUGCCGCAAGGAACGACAAGACAGGUGCUGCAUGGCUGUCGUCAGCUCGUGUCGUGAGAUGUU